rnacentral:lncRNA from 1 species
AAACACAGUUUGCCAUUCAGAAGAACAGGAAGAAAUGUUUUGUCGACUUUUUUAAUUGUACGAAUAAUAUAACGGAGUCGGGAGCAGACGAAAAAUUACUGCCUUUCUCCACAUUAAAGAGAAGUUCAUUCAGGAAAGGAGAGAAAUGGUGGAUAUUUUAUGGAAUCUAAUUGAUGAAGCACACAAAUUGCAAAAUGUUACUUGUUUUUCUCUCUCUCUCUCUCUUUCUUAAUCUUCUUUGCUUGGGGCAGUACAGAAACUAUGCGCUAAGAGAAGAUUCAAUAAGUCUCAAAGAAGAGGGUUCUGUGUAAGCUAGAUCUCCACAAAUUUAGAGUGAUUGUUGCAAUAGCAGUUGCUGAGACCUGAUAUCCAAAACCAUUUCAUUUGUCCCUUUUCAUACUAGCUUAAAAAUUAACACAACCUACUUAGGAAACACAAAUAUUCCAGCAUAUUUCCAUCACUUGCCUUUCAAAUGCUUAGUUCCAUCUAUAAAUAAAGAUAGUUCAAACUUACGCGCACCUUUUCUGUGUUUUCUUCUUAUUAGCGUAAAAGUAGAGAAUCACGGCUCUAUUAAAUGAUGAAUUGUUCACCCAGCCAAAUACCCAAUUUCAGCUAGAACGCGUGGACAGA